GCUUCAUGAUGAGAUCAAGGCAAGUGUGAUCCCACCGGCCGGCUGCUCCAGCAACCUGUUCCCUUCAUACGGGUCUGUAAUCUUGGUGGACAAUGCGAAGCAGUGCGUGUUCGCUGUAAGGGCAGACCGACAGGAUAAUCCCGUCCCUUGCAGCCUCCGCUCGAGAGGGGCUGCCCGCUUCUUUGCAGAGCAGGCAUCUGGCGGGCCAGGGGUACGGGUACAGGGCAAGCCUAGCGUGUCCGGGCUAUAGGUUGCUGCGAGUGGCCGAAAUUGUGGCUGUUGGGACAUCGUGAGCUCAAUUCUUUGGUAAUCUGAAAGCG